UAUUUUUCUCUUUUAAACUUUAUUUAAUUUUUCUUAUCUUCUCUUAAUUUAUCAGUUUAGCAUUAAUUUCUCUUAUUUUCUUUUAAUUUACUUAUCAAAUUAGCAUUAAACUGCUUUAUCUAUCAAUAUGACUAGGUUCCGAAAAUAACAAUAUAUAUUAUAUAUUGGCUCUAGUUUCUGAAAAUUAAUAAUGCAAAGUAAAUUUAGGGCUAGUUUGGUUUCUCUGAGGAGAUAUGUAAAGAUAAUUAUCUGGUCAAUAAAGGGAUCUAGAUAUGCACAUUAACAAUUGCAUGACUCACUGUUUGGUUUGUCAUAUUCAUAAGCGCAGAAAAGUAGUCCUCUGUUUGGUUUACCAAACAUUGUACUAUGAAUACUCCCUAAAAGACUAUUAUACCCUCAACAUAAUUAGGUAAUUCCCUUUUUAUCGUUGGCAAACCCUAGCUGCAGUGCAAUAUGUAACUCCCCUGUUGUGAUUAAUUUUUUUACACUGCCGCCAACAACUCUCGCGUAAGGUGCGAUUUCUUCGUUUUCGCUUCCUGUUUUCUUCUCCGGUCUCUUGUUUAUUACACGCGUUGUUAGCGUUUGAUUACUCUUACGAUUUGUGAUGCAAUAUGUGAUUAUUUUUACACUCUCUUGUCUUCAGUUUCAUCCAUAUGUGAUGCAAUAUGCGUGUAAUUGGUGAAAUUUUCAUUCUUGUUGCAACUCUUGAUGUUUGCCACGAUUGCUAAAUUAGUUUUUUGUUUCACUUUUAUUUCGAAAUUUUGUAUUGCAUAAGGUGAAUGUGGCUUUUCUUAUGUUUAAUUCACUAUUUUGCUAGUUGUUCUUAGUUUUAUGUGUGAGAUUAUACCAACUUCGAGAAUCUAAGGACAUUUUCAUGUGUGUUGUUUAUUGGACUAGGUGCACUGUUAAGAAAAAAAUGUCUGAUUAUAUUCCUAAGAAGUUCACACUCGGAAAGAGUCAGGGGACUCCAGUUGGUUCUCCCUAUGGUCGAAAUAGUAAGACGAAAGGGGAUCGCACUCGUCGAAGCUGAUCUGACCGUGAAGAGGCCAAUCUGUUACUGGGACUGAAGGAUCUUGUAACCCAUGGGUGGAAAGCCGACAACAGAUUUCGAGCAGGUUAUCUGUCUAGGCUGGAGGAGAAUUUGAAGCGAGAAUUUCCAUCAACUGACCUGAAGGGCAACCCUCAUAUCAAUUCGAAGAUAACGGCUUGGAAGAAGUCUUACAAUCUACUGACUAAUAUUCUUGAUCGCAAUGGUGUUGGCUUCGGCUACAAUGGGGACUUCAAAAUCGACUGUGACGAUGAGUAGUGGGCUAAAAUAGUGAAGCAUGAUCGGAAUGCUCGCGGUAUGCGCAAUAAGGCUUGGCCUUAUUUGGAACAGUGGAAAGAAAUCUUUGGAAAAGACCACGCUAAUGGAGCCGAGGCUGAGGAUGUCAAGGAUACAGUGAACAGCCUAUACUCCCGCCAGAAUCUCAACACCUCCAAUGGUUCUCAGGACUACAACGUGAGCUUGGAUGACCUUUCUGCCACUGAGCCAUUGUCCAAACAGUCCACACCGGACGAGGUGGGUGAAAGCUUGCCUCAGAGUACCAAGAGUACCAAGGUUGCUGUGUCUGACAAAAGCUCGGGCAGAAAGCGGAAGCAUGAUAACUCCCUCGAUGCUUUAGUCGAGCUUCUUAGCAAGAUGCACGAGGACACUAACGCCAGGCUGGAGUGCUUGUCCAUGCGGAUAGGUUAUGAAUUCGACCAAGGCCCAGAAGGAUGUGUAUGAUUUGCUUGGAACUAUCUCGGGAUUGACCAUGGAUCAGAAAUUUGAUGCUGGUGAGAUAAUUCUUGAGAAGGUGGAACAUCUCAAUUUCUUCAUGGGGCUGCCUGAGUGUGCUCGUCAUCCCUACGUGAUGCGUGAACUUGAGAAGCGGCGUGCUACCUGAUUUGGAUUAUAUAUUAUUGCUCGCCUUUUGGACUUAAAUUUUUGUCAUCGAGUGGAUUAUAUAUUAUUAUCUCGAUGAGGGUAGCUUAUUAUUGCCUAUUUAUGUAAGAACAACUAAUUCUCACUUCAAGCUUUAGCUUUAGAUGUCCGGUGUGGACGAACCUUGAUUCUAA